UCUGUACAGGGAAUGUGCUCCUCCUCGAAGCAUAGACAAGAAGCAGCCCUUAGAUCUCAUCAGGAAAUUCUACGGAGAGAAGGUAGGAAUCUACUUUGCUUGGGCUGGGCUAUUACAUUCAGAUGCUCCUCCUGGCAGCAGUCGUGGGGGUGACUUGCUUUCUGAAGAAGAGCGUGUUCCAUUUACCACCUGGGGAAAGUGUAUACAUAUAACCCUUUGUGCAAGUGCUCUUUUUCUGGGUAAGAACCUGCCACAGACUUUUUAAAAUCUAAUGUGAAAUCCUGAGAAAACUGAAAAUCAAGCUGGGAACUAUGAA